AGAGUUUGAUCAUGGCUCAGAUUGAACGCUGGCGGCAGGCCUAACACAUGCAAGUCGAGCGGUAGCACAGAGAGCUUGCUCUCGGGUGACGAGCGGCGGACGGGUGAGUAAUGUCUGGGAAACUGCCUGAUGGAGGGGGAUAACUACUGGAAACGGUAGCUAAUACCGCAUAAUGUCGCAAGACCAAAGUGGGGGACCUUCGGGCCUCAUGCCAUCAGAUGUGCCCAGAUGGGAUUAGCUAGUAGGUGGGGUAACGGCUCACCUAGGCGACGAUCCCUAGCUGGUCUGAGAGGAUGACCAGCCACACUGGAACUGAGACACGGUCCAGACUCCUACGGGAGGCAGCAGUGGGGAAUAUUGCACAAUGGGCGCAAGCCUGAUGCAGCCAUGCCGCGUGUGUGAAGAAGGCCUUCGGGUUGUAAAGCACUUUCAGCGGGGAGGAAGGCGGUGAGGUUAAUAACCUCACCGAUUGACGUUACCCGCAGAAGAAGCACCGGCUAACUCCGUGCCAGCAGCCGCGGUAAUACGGAGGGUGCAAGCGUUAAUCGGAAUUACUGGGCGUAAAGCGCACGCAGGCGGUCUGUCAAGUCGGAUGUGAAAUCCCCGGGCUCAACCUGGGAACUGCAUUCGAAACUGGCAGGCUAGAGUCUUGUAGAGGGGGGUAGAAUUCCAGGUGUAGCGGUGAAAUGCGUAGAGAUCUGGAGGAAUACCGGUGGCGAAGGCGGCCCCCUGGACAAAGACUGACGCUCAGGUGCGAAAGCGUGGGGAGCAAACAGGAUUAGAUACCCUGGUAGUCCACGCCGUAAACGAUGUCGAUUUGGAGGUUGUGCCCUUGAGGCGUGGCUUCCGGAGCUAACGCGUUAAAUCGACCGCCUGGGGAGUACGGCCGCAAGGUUAAAACUCAAAUGAAUUGACGGGGGCCCGCACAAGCGGUGGAGCAUGUGGUUUAAUUCGAUGCAACGCGAAGAACCUUACCUGGUCUUGACAUCCACAGAACUUUCCAGAGAUGGAUUGGUGCCUUCGGGAACUGUGAGACAGGUGCUGCAUGGCUGUCGUCAGCUCGUGUUGUGAAAUGUUGGGUUAAGUCCCGCAACGAGCGCAACCCUUAUCCUUUGUUGCCAGCGGUNNGGCCGGGAACUCAAAGGAGACUGCCAGUGAUAAACUGGAGGAAGGUGGGGAUGACGUCAAGUCAUCAUGGCCCUUACGACCAGGGCUACACACGUGCUACAAUGGCAUAUACAAAGAGAAGCGACCUCGCGAGAGCAAGCGGACCUCAUAAAGUAUGUCGUAGUCCGGAUUGGAGUCUGCAACUCGACUCCAUGAAGUCGGAAUCGCUAGUAAUCGUAGAUCAGAAUGCUACGGUGAAUACGUUCCCGGGCCUUGUACACACCGCCCGUCACACCAUGGGAGUGGGUUGCAAAAGAAGUAGGUAGCUUAACCUUCGGGAGGGCGCUUACCACUUUGUGAUUCAUGACUGGGGUGAAGUCGUAACAAGGUAACCGUAGGGGAACCUGCGGUUGGAUCACCU
rnacentral:rRNA from 1 species